AGAGUUUGAUCCUGGCUCAGGAUGAACGCUAGCGAUAGGCCUAACACAUGCAAGUCGAGGGGCAGCACAUGAAGUAGCAAUACGGAUGGUGGCGACCGGCGCACGGGUGAGUAACGCGUAUGCAACCUGCCUACAACAGGGGAAUAACCCGUUGAAAGACGGACUAAUACCCCAUAACACAGGGAUCCCGCAUGGGAAUAUUUGUUAAAGAUUUAUCGGUUGUAGAUGGGCAUGCGUUCCAUUAGCUGGUUGGUGAGGUAACGGCUCACCAAGGCAACGAUGGAUAGGGGAACUGAGAGGUUUAUCCCCCACACUGGUACUGAGACACGGACCAGACUCCUACGGGAGGCAGCAGUGAGGAAUAUUGGUCAAUGGACGCAAGUCUGAACCAGCCACGUCGCGUGAAGGAAGACGGCCCUACGGGUUGUAAACUUCUUUUGUAAGGGAAUAAAGUGCAGUACGUGUACUGUUUUGCAUGUACCUUACGAAUAAGGAUCGGCUAACUCCGUGCCAGCAGCCGCGGUAAUACGGAGGAUCCGAGCGUUAUCCGGAUUUAUUGGGUUUAAAGGGUGCGCAGGCGGGAGAUUAAGUCGGCGGUGAAAUUUUGCAGCUCAACUGUAAAAGUGCCUUCGAAACUGGUUUUCUUGAGUGUGGAUGAAGUAGGCGGAAUUUGUGGUGUAGCGGUGAAAUGCAUAGAUAUCACGAGGAACUCCGAUUGCGCAGCAGCUUACUAAACCAUAACUGACGCUCAGGCACGAAGGCGUGGGGAUCAAACAGGAUUAGAUACCCUGGUAGUC
rnacentral:rRNA from 1 species